GUGAGACAAUAGAAAUCAGAGUUCCAGCUCUUAUGUCCUAGCUCCUAUGAUUGAACAUUGUCUCCAUGGAUUGAAUAAACAAUGAUACAAGGAGAAUUGUAAAGCAUGUUUUACCCUGAGAAAUGAACUAAGUUCCCGAAAGCCUUUCCAUCAAGGAAUAUACCUAUAAUAGGAAAAGUUCAAAUAAAUUAAAGAGAUAGAAACAUUAACAGUUUUCUUUCUGUGAGCAUCACUCACCGGAAGUGGCCCAAAUGAGACCCACCCAGCUCCUCCCCUCUGUGAUCUGAAGUCAUCUUGAACCAAAAUGGGGAGUACUAAUGUCCACACCCUGGGUGAAGAGGCAAAUGAAAUAAUUCAACCAGGCUACCACUGCAGGUGUGUGAUAUUAGACGGAGCGUGUCCAAUGGGGAGCAGCACAGAGAGUGUGAACAAAUCUUCACUGAGAGCAGAACGGUGCAGCGGAAGCGAGCUGGGCUCCCAACUCAGAAGAAGAAGACUCUUUCUGCGUGUUUACAAGUGCUCAAUUCUCUACAUAAAAUCUAGCUGUUUCCACUUUUUGCCUACUACGAAAAAUGCUACUUUGAUG
rnacentral:lncRNA from 1 species